CUCUUUCUCCCUGGUUACGUUUGUGUAAGUAAGAUGUAGUGUUUUGGGUGCUUGGGUGGGAGGGCCUUGCCUUGUGAACUUCUCUUACCUGGAGCUGCCAGGAUGCCUGUGAAAAAUUAUCUCCUAGGCAAACCUGUAUCUAGAAUGGGGCUACUUCCUGUUUGUGUCUUUUCACCUUUGGUAUAGGUCCUAAAGGGUCUUGCAAGAUCUCAAAAGGUCAGAAGUCCAUACUAUAGUUUGCCAGCAGUAAAGCUGGAUGAGGCACCAGCAUAGCUUCACAGAGUGACUUGCUUGACCCAGCUCACUGGCAGCCAAGACAUUGUGCCCUGCAAACAGGAGAAUGGUUAUCUUGCGGUUAUCUUGCAUUUGGAAGUGAACUUGGUGAAAUGAAUGCUUUGUAGAAAUCAUUUUAAGCUUAAAUCCACUCUUCAAGGACCAAUGUAGUAAAGGAAGGAAUGUGCUUCUAGUGUUGGGGGUGUCAACAUGGAAAUCUAGAGAUCCCCAGUUUAUUUAGUUGGAGUAUAGAAACCCCAGGUUUUGACCUUGUCACAGGAGAGUUUCCCCCUGAGGGAAGGUCCCUCUUCACCAGACAGUGAACUUCCUUGUAGUUUGGGUGGGAACAGCAAAUCCCAUCCAAUAUUAAACAUCCCUUUUGUCCCAAUGGUUUCUUCCCCCUAGGCUAAAGUCCAUGACCAAGGUAGGGCCCCAGCCCCUCACUAUUAUUCCUGUCUGGAACUUCUCAUUUUCCUUUCUCACCAUUGUAAGGUCAAUCAACUGUCCUUCUAAUUCUAAAGCCCCCAGGUCAUCUAGAGUGGUAUAUAGGUUCCCCAAGUUCUUUUGUUCCUCGGAGUCCAUCCUGAGUCGGUGGCACUCCCAGGGGCUGGUGACCAGAGCGUCUUGACUCCAGUGCAGUCUUGGAAAUCAGCUCUGUUGUCGUAGUAGCAGCGCUAACCCCUUUUCCCUUGAUUAAAGAGUGAUUUUGACUAUUUAAUAGUUGUGUUUUUUCUAGUUGACAGGGGAAAUGCUUUUAAAUUUUGUGCUGGUGUGUAUUGUUAAUUGGUUAAAUGAUAAUCGGGUUUUAAUCACUAGGUCAAUUAACAAUUUAGAUGGGAUAUUCUUUAUGACUAGUGAUUAAUAUUGGGAAACAUACCAGAGUGAGAACUUGAGUAAUAGAAUUAGAAAGAUGCCUCAAAACCCCUGAAAGUUACCCCUAGAACACUAUGGGUGAGAUAUAGCUAGCCUUACUCUGAGCAUCCAACCUGCUAAUGCAAGUGAGAGUUGGGAUAAAGACCCCUAGAUUCUAUAUGGGAAUAUAAUGAUUGUUGUAGAGUAGGAAGGAUACAGUUGAGAUUAGAAAAAAUAAAUUUGUAAAGGACCUAUUUGGCA
rnacentral:lncRNA from 1 species